UACGGGGGGGGCAAGCGUUGUUCGGAAUUACUGGGCGUAAAGGGCUCGUAGGUGGCCAACUAAGUCAGACGUGAAAUCCCUCAGCUUAACUGGGGAACUGCGUCUGAUACUGGAUGGCUUGAGUUUGGGAGAGGGAUGCGGAAUUCCAGGUGUAGCGGUGAAAUGCGUAGAUAUCUGGAGGAACACCCGUGGCGAAGGCGGUUCUCUGGGACGGUACUGACGCUGAGACGCGAAAGCGUGGGGAGCGAACAGG
rnacentral:rRNA from 1 species